rnacentral:rRNA from 1 species
UACGUAGGGUGCGAGCGUUGCCCGGAUUUAUUGGGCGUAAAGGGCGCGUAGGCGGCCACGCACGUCCGUUGUGAAAAUCGCCCCGGCUCAACUGGGCGGGGUCGGCGGAUACGGCGUGGCCUGAGCAAGCUAGGGGGGUAGUGGAAUUCCCGGUGUAGUGGUGGAAUGCGUAGAUAUCGGGAGGAACACCAGUGGCGAAGGCGGCUACCUGGGGCUUUGCUGACGCUGAGGCGCGAAAGCGUGGGGAGCGAACAGG